UUCCGUGCGCUCGUAGGUUACAUGUACGUGCGGGAGGGGCGAACGGUGUUGAUGGUGUUGGUGUGUUGUGGGUCAGUGGACGUGUGCGUGUGCGUGGGAGUUUUGGCUGGGGGGCUGCAUCGAGGGGAGGGGAAAUGCCCGUGAAGACAAAAAACGUGGCCUCGACGCUAUGCUUGUGCUUGCUAGCCCAGCCUAGCUAGGGGGAUUUAUUUUGGACUUGCGGACGGCCGCCGGGGGCCCCGUACAGCGGCAUUUAGGGUUUACGGCGAUUUUGAGCAGUAGCAGUAGCGGUAGCGGUAGCGGUGCUCCUCUGCCUACUUUCAUGGAUGCAUGGAUGGCGGUGGGAUAGGGCGGUGACAAUGCCGGUG
rnacentral:lncRNA from 1 species